UACGUAGGUGGCAAGCGUUGUCCGGAAUUAUUGGGCGUAAAGGGCGCGUAGGCGGCCGCGCAUGUCGAAUGUGAAAGCCCACCUCUUAAAGGUGGAAUUGCAUUCGAAACUGCAAGGCUGGAGUGCCGGAGAGGGUGGUGGAAUUCCACGUGUAGCAGUGAAAUGCGUAGAUAUGUGGAGGAACACCGAUGGCGAAGGCAGCCCCCUGGGUCAAGAUUGACGCUCAUGCACGAAAGCGUGGGGAGCAAACAGG
rnacentral:rRNA from 1 species